rnacentral:rRNA from 1 species
UAGUCCACGCCGUAAACGAUGUCAACUAGCCGUUGGGAGCAUUUAAGCUCUGAGUGGCGCAGCUAACGCGAUAAGUUGGCCGCCUGGGGAGUACGCCGGCAACGGUAAAACUCAAAGGAAUUGACGGGAGCCCGCACAAGCGGUGGAGCAUGUGGUUUAAUUCGAUGCAACGCGAAAAACCUUACCUACCCUUGACAUCAUCGGAACUUGUCAGAGAUGACUCGGUGCCUUCGGGAACCGAUAGACAGGUGCUGCAUGGCUGUCGUCAGCUCGUGUCGUGAGAUGUUGGGUUAAGUCCCGCAACGAGCGCAACCCUCACUUUUAGUUGCCAUCAUUAAGUUGGGCACUCUGAAAGAACUGCCAGUGAUAAGCUGGAGGAAGGUGGGGGACGACGUCAAGUCAUCAUGGCCCUUACGUGUAGGGGCUACACACGUGCUACAAUGGGCGAGUACAGAGGGGAA